rnacentral:rRNA from 1 species
UACGUAGGGACCAAGCGUUGUUCGGAUUUACUGGGCGUAAAGGGCGCGUAGGCGGCAAUUCAAGUCAUCUGUGAAAUCUCCGGGCUUAACUCGGAAUGGUCAGGUGAUACUGCUUUGCUAGAGUGCAGAAGGGGCAAUCGGAAUUCUUGGUGUAGCGGUGAAAUGCGUAGAUAUCAAGAGGAACACCUGAGGUGAAGACGGGUUGCUGGGCUGACACUGACGCUGAGGAACGAAAGCUAGGGGAGCGAACGGG